GGGGCUGCGGGCGAUGGCGGCGGCUGCAGCUGCGGCCGGUCGGCUAGGCUGGGUGCUCGCUGUGUUCUACCUGGGCAACGCCGCGGGGGAGGUGGCGCCGGGCCCGCGACUGCUAGGCUUCUGCCUGGAGGAGGUGGGCUCCGGGUGGGUGCGCGGAGAGGCCUCUCCAGAGGCCACCUUCCGCCUGCGCCUCUUUGGCUCGGGCUUGGCCAACAGCUCUUGGACCUGGGUGGCCCCUGAAGGGGCCGGCUGCCCCGAGGGCGGGCUGGCUGUGUCGCCCGAGGAGGCGGUGCCCCCUCCGGGCGAGUGGCGCGCGUUGCUGCGUCUGCGCGCUGAGGCCGGCCGUCCGCACUCCGCGUUGCUGGCGGUGCGCGUGGAGCCCGGCGGCGGCGGAGCGGAGGAGGCGGCGCCGCCCUGGGCGCUGGGCCUGGGGGCGGCCGGGCUGCUGGCGCUGGCGGCGCUGGCCCGAGGCCUGCAGCUGAGUGCGCUGGCGCUGGCGCCCGCCGACGUGCAGGUGCUGCGCGAGAGCGGCUCGGAAACGGAGCGUGCGGCGGCCCGGCGCCUGGAACCGGCUCGGCGUUGGGCCGGCUGCGCCUUGGGCGCGCUGCUACUCCUCGCCAGCCUGGCGCAGGCGGCCCUGGCGGUGGUGUUGUACCGCGCAGCGGGCCAACGCGCCGUGCCCGCCGUGCUGGGCUGCGCAGGGCUCGUGUUUCUGGUGGGCGAGGUGCUGCCGGCCGCCGUGAGCGGGCGCUGGGCACUGGCUUUGGCGCCCCGAGCGCUCGGUCUCAGCCGCCUGGCGGUGCUGCUCACUCUGCCGGUGGCGCUGCCCGUGGGGCAGUUACUGGAGAUGGCAGCGAGGCCCGGGCGACUACGCGAGCGGGUGCUGGAGUUGGCGCGCGGCGGUGGCGAUCCCUACCAUGACCUGAGCAAGGGCGUGCUGCGCUACCGGACCGUGGAGGACGUGCUCACCCCGCUCGAAGACUGCUUCAUGCUGGACGCCAGCGCCGUGCUGGACUUCGGCGUCCUGGCCAGCAUCAUGCAGAGCGGUCACACGCGCAUCCCAGUGUAUGAGGACGAGCGCUCCAACAUCGUAGACAUGCUCUAUCUCAAGGACUUGGCCUUCGUGGACCCCGAAGACUGCACGCCACUCACCACCAUCACCCGCUUCUACAACCAUCCACUUCACUUCGUCUUUAACGACACCAAGCUAGACGCCGUCCUGGAGGAAUUCAAGCGAGGAAAGUCCCACCUGGCCAUUGUGCAGAAGGUGAACAAUGAGGGUGAAGGCGACCCCUUCUAUGAGGUCCUGGGCCUGGUCACUUUGGAGGACGUCAUUGAGGAGAUCAUCAAGUCUGAAAUCCUGGAUGAGUCUGAAGACUACCGAGCUGAUACAAUGAGGAAGAAGUCUGUUCCCCUGAGUGCCCCGCUAAAGCGGAAGGAGGAAUUCUCCUUGUUCAAGGUGUCUGAUGAUGAAUAUAAAGUAAAAAUCUCACCCCAGCUGCUCCUAGCCACCCAACGCUUCCUUUCCAGAGAGGUGGAUGUGUUCAGCCCACUGAGAAUCUCCGAAAAGGUCUUGCUGCACUUGCUGAAGCAUCCCAGUGUGAACCAAGAGGUGAAGUUUGAUGAGAGCAACCGCCUGGCUGCACAUCAUUACCUGUACCAGCGUAGCCAGCCAGUGGACUACUUCAUUCUCAUCCUGCAGGGCAGGGUUGAGGUAGAGAUUGGAAAGGAGGGCCUGAAGUUUGAAAAUGGGGCCUUCACCUACUAUGGAGUAUCUGCUUUGACAGCACCAUCCUCAGUUCACCAGUCCCCAGUCUCCUCGCGACAGCCUACUCGCCAUGACCAGCAGCCCGAGCCAUUAGAGAGCAGUAUCCGUUCCUCAGCAUACUGUCCUGACUAUACUGUGCGGGCCCUCUCUGACUUGCAGCUCAUUAAGGUUACACGACUGCAGUACCUCAAUGCACUCCUGGCUACCCGAGCACAGAGCCUGCCGCCGUCCCCUGAGAAUUCUGACCUGCACGCCAUCCCAGGCAGUCAGACCAGGCUCCUUGGUGACAAAUCUGCUGCAGCAGCCUUCCCAGUAGACCUUUCCCUCUUUGGCACAUUUGGAAACUGCAGUUGAUAACUGACUGUGGACUAGUGAGCAAUUUUUUGUUUUAAGAAAACACCAAGGGUCCAAUCACAGCAGCAAGCCUGGCAUCCCAGUGGAGGAGAGCCCUGGGCGGAACCCAGGAGUUUAACUGCUUGCCAGGCAGCCCUGAGCUGGGGAACAGACAAGCAUGUGGGGUUGCUGGAGGGAGCCAAGCAGAAGCUUCAUGCCAGCACGUCCCUACCUCUCCAGGCCACGUUUUAGAUGGCCCUUAUAGGUAUGGGUCCUGAGCUUCCUCAGUGCCAGGAGUCAUCAGCAGGCCCUAGCCUCCUUUUGGAGAUGGGGUCAGCCAAGUAUAGCCCUCUAGGAGCCUGAUUUUGGAAGGAAUGAAAGGAACAUUAUCUCUAGUCCCUGAGGCCCAGAUCCUCUUCCCCUAACACCAGUGCAGUGUAUUUAUACCUCUCAGAGCCAGGUGCCAUGUGGGUGCACAAUUCCUGCCUUUAUGUUGCCCUGCCCUAUGGUCACUUUGCUUUUAACUGGCCAAACCCUCUGCUGCUGGCAGCACUUUCUCAGCAAACUGAGGGUACUAGGUCUGACUGAGGGUUCAAAUCCAUGGCUUUGUCCCUUGUCCCUGGUGUACUUUCUGGCUCCCCUUAUAAUGCCAUGCUUUCAUUCAUGUGCUCUAGCCUCUCAUGUGCCAAAUGUAGAAAGCAUGCUUUCCCACAAGCCUGUGCCUCCUGCUCCCUCCCAUGGAGGUGGCUUUUCUGACCCCUUCUGGAGUCACAAGCAACAAGCUGGCCCUCAGUGGUGCUGAGGCUUAGCCGGCAUAGCCCGUGGGGCUGUCAUUCCCACCUACUGUGCGUAGUUGCCACUUAACAGUAUUGCCCAUUUCUGAGUUUUGAGAGGUCACAUAUGGGAGGCAGGGGUCUUUCUGCUGGACCUAAUGUUGUCUAACCCCAGGGAUAGUGACCACCUGCUGUACCUACCUUUCUCAUAGGCCUCCAGGGUGGUGUGCUGUAACUGGCAUGGAGAGCAGCAAGGGAGGGAAGGAUGGUUUAUGAACCAUGUGCAACCUUGUCACCUUUCUUUUAAAAAAAGGAAUUUAAGGUUUUCUUAUAUCUGAAACAUUUCAAAUUCUUUGUACGUUCCUUAGCAAUGUGGUAUUGGAGAAGUGGAACAAGAAAGCCAUUUGUCUUUUUUUGUAGUUUACCUAAAUUUUCCAUCCCCUAUUCAGCUAUGUGUAACCUGGGGCAUCACAGAGACAUGGGACCAUAGAUUGGGAAGGAAUUGAGGAAUUCUGGAACUUUCCUUGAAGGAUUUGGGCUCUUGUAAAUGGGGCUGAAGGCCAAAAUUGCAGUUGUGUGCUCUCCGAGGAGUUGUUUUCAGGGAAUAUGCUCUUAAGAACAAAUUCAGGUAGGAAAUACUUUAAACGCAUUUCCAGAACACAAGUUCUGAACCUCGGCUGUAACCUCAGACUCACCUGGCAAAUUUAAAAUGCUCAUACCUAGGUCCACUCCCGGGGCUUCUGGUUUAAUCAUUCAGAGCACCAGGGUUUUAGUUUUGAAAUAGUUUUAGGCUCACAGAAACAUUCUGUACACCACAUUCCCAGUUUCCUCUAGUUGCAGCAUUUCACAUAACAUUGGUACUUUUUCAAAACUAAAAUAACAUUGGUGCAAUAUUCUUUAUGGACUUUAUUUGGAUUUUACCAUUUUUUUCCAGUAAUGUCCUUUUUCUGUUGCAAGAUGUAGUGUAGGAUACCAAGUUGCACUUAGAGCUAAUGUUUUCAUUUUCCCCUUUGUUUUGAAAUCAUUAUAGAUUUAAUAAGAAGUUACAAAGAUGGAGGUCCCAUGCACCUUUAACCUAGUUUUCCUCAAUGGUUAUAUCUUUUUUUUUUUUUUGCCGGUUGUGGGGCCUGAACUCUGGGCCUGGGUGCAGUCCCUCA